rnacentral:tRNA from 1 species
GCCGCGAUAGCUCAGUUGGGAGAGCGUCAGACUGAAGAUCUGAAGGUCGCUGGUUCAAUUCCGGCUCGCGGCA